rnacentral:tRNA from 1 species
ACUCCCGUAGCUCAGUAGGAUAGAGCGUCGGUUUCCUAAACCGCAGGUCGGAGGUUCAAAUCCUCUCGGGAGUGCCA